GUCCGCAUCGAGCUCACGCCCUGGAACGUCGCGCUGCUGCGGUGCGCGACGGAGUACCUGGAGAUGACGGAGGAGCACGCCGAGGACAACCUGACCGCGCGCGCCAAGGCCUACCUUUCGCAGUCCGUGCUCCGGCACCCAAGCGAGGCCACCAAGGCGCUCAACUCCUGCGAGGAGCUGCUGCCACACGCCGAGGACCUCGGCAUUGUCGGCCGCUGCGCGGAGGCCAUCGCCGCGUGCUUGUCGGCAUCAGCGCGCUCCUGGUUCGGCCGGGCAACGGUGACGGCGGGUGGUGAAUAA
rnacentral:rRNA from 1 species